GGGGACGUCCGGAUUAGACAGGAUGUUUGAUUAAUAUAAGCUGCGAGUCCGAGCGCUGUUCUCGGUUAUCAACGAGCUAAGCAAAUUAAAUGCUGAAAACAACGUAAUCAAAGCUGAUUUCUCAAGAGCAUACGCUCUUGCUGCCUAAGCGCAGUCAGCCACUUCAAUAGCCCAGCUUGCCGGCUGUUGGGGUCCAUUAUGCAAGACGCAGUACGUUGAUGAUGGUAGGCGUAUCAAGAUAACCAUCAAAGGUUUAGAGUUUCCUUUAAAUAAAACCUAGGACUGAUUUAACGGUCGUGAUAUUUUCCGGAAUCAGUUGAGCAGAUAAAUAUCUACACUCGUAGAGGCUUAUGUUGGUCCAUUUUGGACGUGGGUUCGAGUCCCACCGUCUCCA
rnacentral:tmRNA from 1 species